rnacentral:rRNA from 1 species
AUUGAACGCUGGCGGUAGGCCUAACACAUGCAAGUCGAACGCGAAAGUCCUUCGGGAUGAGUAGAGUGGCGGACGGGUGAGUAACGCGUAGGAAUCUAUCCUGUAGUGGGGGAUAACGUUUCGAAAGGAACGCUAAUACCGCAUACGCCCCAAGGGGGAAAGCGGGGGAUCUUCGGACCUCGUGCUAUAGGAGGAGCCUGCGUCGGAUUAGCUAGUUGGUGAGGUAAAGGCUCACCAAGGCGACGAUCCGUAGCUGGUCUGAGAGGAUGAACAGCGACUCCGGAAAUGGGACACGGUCCGGACUCCUACGGGAGGCAGCAGUGGGGAAUAUUGCGCAAUGGGCGAAAGCCUGACGCAGCCAUAACGCGUGUGUGAAGAAGGCCUUCGGGUCGUAAAGCACUUUCAGUGGGGAGGAAAAGCUGGUGGCUAAUAUCCAUCGGCCGUGACGCUACCCACAGAAGAAGCACCGGCUAAUUCCGUGCCAGCAGCCGCGGUAAAAC